AAUAAACCAAGGCGGGUUGGGUGUACCUCAGUUAAAAGACUACUGGAAAGCAUGAUAACGUUAAGGAUGAAGUAUGGUACAAAAUUGAAAUGAGUUUGACCAAAUUGGUGGUCAGACAAUAUUUUGGCGGACAAAGGAUAAAAAAAGAAGCAAUAUCACAUAGAGAUUUCUUCUAAAGGUUUGGUUCUUAACAACCUCAUGAACACAUGGGAAAAAUUAAAAACUAC